AAGCCCUUUGGUGGCAUGUGAGACCUGGCUCCGUGGCACUGGACAAAUCUCCUGAAGCAGAAGUUUCAGUGGCUCCUGGAACAGCACCCCCCCUACGGGGAGCCAAGAACUCCCAGGAAGCACAAGCCACCAGCUCUGUCGGCUCUGGAGUGACACUAAGAGAAGAAAGACGAAGACAGUAGCUCUCGUCUCAAUGCGUGUUCAUCACAUUUGUCACUAGGAGACCCCAUUUCAGUGCGUUCGGUGAUCAGAAAGAUUGUAUCUUUGCUAAUGUGCUGAUAUUCACGGGCUGCACAUCUGGCAGAAGGGGAGA
rnacentral:lncRNA from 10 species